CUUACACACACACACCCACGUGACUGCUUUGUACUUUGAUUCAAAGGUCUAAAAAAUGACUCAGGCCACGCCCUCACGGGUUGUUACAGCAACAGAUUUGCUAUAAUCGUAAUGAAGUGCAGGAGAGAUGACGAACUCGCAGAGGAGAGAGCAGGACCCACUCGGCGAGAGAAACCACGGAGAACAGGACGAAUUGUCGACAACUCAUGAAGAGAGAGAGAAUGCAGCUCCCGUCAGGGGAAUCGUCCUCCCCCGGGGAGGCGGUGCCUGGUGGCCGGAGAGAGAGCGGUCCUGGACGCCAACGGGUACUUUAAGAAGGCACAGAGGAGAGAUAUUAAAGAUAAAUAAACUCCAGCUUGUCAAACGGCUAAAUGUUAUCGAGCAAACCUGGGCCAAGACUGCCGAGCACUUCACUCUCGUCCUUACAACAAAGGAUUCAGAGGAUUUAUCGCACAUCAUCGAGUUGACCGACCAAUGGAAAGAGAACCUAACCACCUUCAUGGAGAACCUCAGAAAGACUGAAAGCAGUCAACGCGAGACCAUCCAAUCUGUCCGAGCUCAUGUUGUCAAGUGGCAGAAGUUCUGUGAAGACCAGAUCAGGAGCCCUGAUAUGAAAACCGAUAGAUCUUCAGAGGAGGAACUGUCUUAUGACCUGAAACAAUGGUCAACGGUGUUAAAGCCACAAUAUGGAAUAUUUGGACCGCUAGAUGGCGCACUUUCAAAACAACAACAAAAGGCGAAGCUAAAUUACGUUAUGUAGGAGAGUGGAAUUAUGGGACAUGUCGUUUUCACCAUCCAGAGGCGUAUGAAGAUCACCCAUCAUGUUCACGGACAAGUUUCUACAACUGGAAACUGAGGGUUGUGCGGAGCGCCGGAUAUUAAGUCACUGAUAUGCAACAACUACAAGGGAGACAAGGGACGGGCCAUUAUUUUAAAUGGGAAUUUCUCUGGAUUUGCACAUUCUUGGGAACAUUUGGGAUUGUGAGACACCCGGCUUCAGAUGGAGGGCCACCUAAAGGUCAAGAGGCCAUGGGCGAGCUGUCUAAAACCAUCACUGAGCUUCACAAGCAGCUGGGAAUCCGCAUCAACGGAGGAAGUGGGAUCCAUGCAACACUAAUGUCACUUAGUGAUAAUAUGGAGUUCUGGUCCAGAAGUCUAAAAUCACGGAGUGGACCUGAACUGCAUCCUUCAGGAGAUUGGGUGAAGAUGGAGGAAGCUCUCGGUAGCUUGAGAAAUCUGUUAGUUCAGUGCCGACAAAGAUCAAACCACAAGUCUGUUCUCAGGUAAUAAGAUUGAUUACGAUCAUUUUUCCAGACAGAUGACUUUGUUGUGUCUCCUCAGACUGAGAAUGCCCAGGAAGCCUUCACAGCUUUAGAAACAGUGCGAUCUCUUCAGCAGAAAAAUGUAGAGGUGGAAGUUCGUGCUGUCACUGACCUCCAGGUGGCUCUCGACUAGAUCCAAGAUCCGGAGAAACAAUUACAGGCUCGGCCCAACGUGGAGAACAAGUGUAGGUGUGAAACACCGACUAAAAUAAAUGAUCCCCAGCACCCCGGCUGUGUCAUCCGAACCCGAAAGUCAGAAAGGCGAAUCUAGCCCCGAACAUGCCAAAGGCACUAAAAGACACUAAUCUUAAUACCAGACCUGAAUGGGUGUAAAAUAAAGUAUUUGACCUGUAUUCAAAUGUAGCGCACAUUUUGUUCUUUUAUUGCGUUUUUACAAGAGGUGAGAACAAAACAGAUAUAUUAUUUACAUUCCAUAUAUCAUUAAACAAACAAGAAAUAAACAUACAUGGACUGUUUGGUUUUAAGAGGGUUGUCAUCGUUUCUAAAUUCAUUGAUUUAGCUGUUUAUAAGCACAUCAAAGCAGAAUCUUUUUGGUCAUCAUCAGAGUUGUUGUCUUGACAUACAGUAUCUUGACAUUCAUGUUGUAUCUACAUCAUGAUCGAGUCUUUAGCGCUCUCUUCCGAGUCGUCCGCCGUGGUCAGGCUUUGACUGGCCGUUCUGGUUAAACUGGUGAUGUCUAUAGAUUGGCUCAGGAUAUCAGGAGGUAUGUUGAGGACCACAGCCAGCUGCUCAGAAGACUGUGAAGAUGCUGCAGAAUUCGAAGAUGCACGACCAGCGGAGACCUGGAAAGAGACUCGACGCAAGACUUCAGUGCAUCACAAGCCGUCCUGCAACACAAUGUGACAAAGUGGUUGAAGAGCAGGGCUUUUAACUAAUAGGUUGAAGGUUUGAACUCAACAUUUGGCCUUUGACCUGGAUCUUUAGAAGGGGGAGUAGCCUAUCUCUGUGAAGGUUCAUUUGAAGAUGGAGGAGUCUGCGUGUAAGGCAUUACAGGGGCUAACAUCCCACCCACACAUGUUUUGUGAGGGAUGCUGAAUGCAACAGUGUUAUUUUAUUAUAACACAAAUUUGAAACAAACCUUUGUGGAGUUUGCAACUCUUUAAAUAAUGGUCUGCUGUCUAUAUUGUUUUUUGUAUAAGAAUAAUUUUGGGAGAACACUUUUAAAUAUUUACAUAUUUGACAAGUCAAUACUUUGAUUGUUGAGAUAAAUGAAAAUAAAAUGUAGAUGAUGUCAAAGUUGCAGUAUUCAUCUAUUUUUAUUCAUGUAUUUUAUUCAUUUAGAUUAUAGUGUUUUAGUGAUGUUUUCGUAGACGUUUUAAUAAUGCUUGUCUGUUGUCUUAAAAAAAAUUGUACCAAGAACUAAAAAUGUUCAACUUGAUUGUUUAAAACUGUUAUUGCAUAACAAUAAAACAAACCUUUACAUUUUUCAGAUGUAAGUAACGUUAUUAGCUGUAGCCUAACCCCUGCUUGAUUUGUGGUUAUCAUGGUUACCAUUAACUACAGCAGUCGUGUUUGUUUUUUUUAUAAAGGAAAUAGUUUAAAUGAACAAAUUACAGACAUAAACUAUUAGUUAAGCGAUCUGAUGGGGUCACAUGACAGUAUUUUUAUUUUUGAGGGAACUGUCCCUUUAAAUAUAGCUUGACGGUUAUCUGUGUUUUUUCAUCAGCUGCGAUUGUGACGUAAGACGCUGAAAGCUUCAUAACUCGCGCUCGUUUGCAGAAGUUUCAUUUGCAGUUUGCUUCGCUCGCUGACUGAAGUCUUCGCAAUGUAUAGUGGCAAAUUUCUUGUACCCGAUCUUGAAGAAACUUUAAGGCUUAUUAAGAAGGAAAGGAGAAGUAGACAUCCCGUUAGAAAAGCGUGGCGGCGUGUCUUCGGCGAAAGAAAGUGGAAACGCAAGGUCUCUGCCUGUGAUGAAGAUUAUAGCGAAAAUGUAGUGUGGGAACACCAUUCUCAUCAGGGUGUAGGUGAAAAUAUCUACUUCAUUGGGCCCCUGCAAAACCCAGAGGUAGCUUGGGAAUCCUCCGAAGAUGACUGGUUCCUCCAAGCACACCCAAGCAUGGAAAGCCUGUACAACAAGGCGAUUUCAACAGAUGUGUUUGUAACAGCACACCAAAGCCUUGAAAGCCUGUACAAGGAGGAGCUGUCUACAGAUGAGGUGUUUGUAACAGCACACCAAAGCCUUGAAAGCCUGUACAAGGAGG